rnacentral:rRNA from 1 species
CGAGCGGCAGCGACUUAACUGAACCUUCGGGGAACGUUAAGGGCGGCGAGCGGCGGACGGGUGAGUAAUGCCUGGGAAUAUGCCCUGAUGUGGGGGAUAACUUGGAAACGAUAGCUAACACCGCAUAAUCUCUUCGGAGCAAAGAGGGGGACCUUCGGGCCUCUCGCGUCAGGAUUAGCCCAGGUGGGAUUAGCUUGUUGGUGAGGUAAUGGCUCACCAAGGCAACGAUCCCUAGCUGGUCUGAGAGGAUGAUCAGCCACACUGGAACUGAGACACGGUCCAGACUCCUACGGAGGCAGCAGUGGGGAAUAUUGCACAAUGGGGGAAACCCUGAUGCAGCCAUGCCGCGUGUGUGAAGAAGCUUCGGGUUGUAAAGCACUUUCAGUAGGGAGGAA